rnacentral:rRNA from 1 species
CUACGGGGGGCUGCAGUGAGGAAUUUUGCGCAAUGGGGGAAACCCUGACGCAGCAACGCCGUGUGAGUGAAGAAGGCCUUCGGGUCGUAAAGCUCUGUCAAGUGGGAAAAAAGUCUUUCGGUAAAUAGCCGGAAGGCCUGAUGGUACCACUAAAGGAAGCACCGGCUAACUCCGUGCGCAGCAGGGCCGCGGUAAUACGGAGGGUGCUAGCGUUGUUCGGAAUUAUUGGGCGUAAAGAGCGUGUAGGCGGCUUGGUAAGUCAGAUGUGAAAGCCCUGGGCUCAACUCAGGAAGUGCAUUUGAUACUGCUUUGCUUGAGUAUGGGAGAGGAGAGUGGAAUUCCCAGUGUAGAGGUGAAAUUCGUAGAUAUUGGGAGGAACACCCGUGGCGAAGGCGACUCUCUGGACCAAUACUGACGCUGAGACGCGAAAGCGUGGGGGGCAAACAGGAUUAGAUACCCCUGUAGUC